rnacentral:tRNA from 1 species
ACCUAGCUGUCAAAAAAGCAUGAGGCUCUUGACCUCAAAGUUAUGAGUUUGAGUCCCAUGUUGGGUA